rnacentral:rRNA from 1 species
GCAGCAGCCGCGGUAAUACAGAGGGUGCGAGCGUUAAUCGGAUUUACUGGGCGUAAAGCGUGCGUAGGCGGCUUCUUAAGUCGGAUGUGAAAUCCCUGAGCUUAACUUAGGAAUUGCAUUCGAUACUGGGAAGCUAGAGUAUGGGAGAGGAUGGUAGAAUUCCAGGUGUAGCGGUGAAAUGCGUAGAGAUCUGGAGGAAUACCGAUGGCGAAGGCAGCCAUCUGGCCUAAUACUGACGCUGAGGUACGAAAGCAUGGGGAGCAAACAGGAUUAGAUACCCGGGUAGUCCCUGUCUCUUAUAC